AAAUUGAAGAGUUUGAUCAUGGCUCAGAUUGAACGCUGGCGGCAGGCCUAACACAUGCAAGUCGAACGGUAACAGAAAGAAGCUUGCUUCUUUGCUGACGAGUGGCGGACGGGUGAGUAAUGUCUGGGAAACUGCCUGAUGGAGGGGGAUAACUACUGGAAACGGUAGCUAAUACCGCAUAACGUCGCAAGACCAAAGAGGGGGACCUUCGGGCCUCUUGCCAUCGGAUGUGCCCAGAUGGGAUUAGCUAGUAGGUGGGGUAACGGCUCACCUAGGCGACGAUCCCUAGCUGGUCUGAGAGGAUGACCAGCCACACUGGAACUGAGACACGGUCCAGACUCCUACGGGAGGCAGCAGUGGGGAAUAUUGCACAAUGGGCGCAAGCCUGAUGCAGCCAUGCCGCGUGUAUGAAGAAGGCCUUCGGGUUGUAAAGUACUUUCAGCGGGGA
rnacentral:rRNA from 1 species